rnacentral:rRNA from 1 species
AUGGCUAGCCCAGCCCACCUCCUCUCUCCUUCAUCAUCGCUACAGGAGACGGGUAGGCCGUGGCAACCAUCCAUGGCUGCCAUGGAUUCGUGGAGGCCAUCCAGGCCCCCAAACCCCCCUACAACUGCGCCCCCGCGAAACCCUAGAUCGCCCUCCCUCUUUCCCCUUUGUUUCCCCAUCAACCUCCUCCCUCUUCUACUCGAUUUCGGGCUUGAGAGCUCCGUGGUGACCCAGCUUCUCGCCGUUGCUACCGCGGCCACCAUCGACGUUGGCGCUCGGGAUCACGUUCAGGAGGUCCAGCGUGGCCGUCUUCGUCCGUCCCGGGCACCAAAUCAAGCCGGGGUGGCCCAUACGUUCUACAUCGCCCUCGUCUCCUUGCCACGGCCGCCGCCAUCUCUUCUUCGGUUCGCUCCAUCCCGACCGUCCCCAGCCUCCCUGAGCUCGUCUGCGGCCUCUCCACACCGAGACCGACGCCGCGGCUAA